AUCCUUCUGGAUGGAGAUUGCAUUCUUCUUGAGCUGUUAUGGGAAGGGAGGAUGACCUGGUCCAGUUCCAGUUUCCAGCAAGUAGCUACCAACAUGCAGUGCCCAAAGGCUGCCUCAUUUUUCUCAAGGCGCUUUAGGAGACAGCGAUGCACGAACCUUGGCUAACACUGAGAAAAACUGCUGUAUGGUGAACCACCCUGCUUCCUAACUGUGCCUCCCAUUCAAUGAUCAUCUAUGAAGCUAGCCAAGAGGCUGUGUCUAUGUGGGAUGGCUGUGAGCAAGUGUGAACCUUUCCCCUGAGGUCAGGAAGCUUUGAAUAAAGCCUUAGGCAAACAGGAGCUGCCUGUGACCACUGAUCACACCUCUGAGAAUGGAAAGGGCUCCCUCAAAAGCUGUCCCAGUGGGGACCAAAUCUCAGAGGAUCUUUGUCCCAUUUGGAUCUAGAGGCAAGAGGGUUGCAACGUGAUAUCUGUAACAAGACAGAAGUCAAAAAUGCAGAGAUCUGUGCAGGUUAGUACAUGAGAUGGCUCUGCAUGUGAAUUAUUCCUGUUCAGCAGCAGCUCUAACAGCUUUCUUUUGAUGCUUAAAGACAAAUGUAAUAAGAAGAUGAGCUGAAAAUGACGACUGCUGUCUCAAUAAGCUGCAGAAGCUCCACUAAUGUGGUUCAUUGGAACAUACUUUUUCCCUAUCUCUAAAACAGCUAUGGUUGCACUGAGCACCACAGCACCCUGAAUGCGUGCCUGUGUCUCCAGCAGGCUCAGCACCUUAGCAGUCUCCCCCAUGAGUAGACAGCGGCUGCUUCUUGAGAGUGUUUCACCGAAUGACAAAGCACGGGAUUGCAUAAUAUAUCUUCAGCAUGUCUCUGGGAAGGUCACUGAUAACCUGUGUUUCAGCCCAUUCCUCCUGCUGUUUGGAGUACACGUCUGCUGUGCACGCUGUAAAUGAGGAGCCCACUUUAUGCACGGAGAACAAGGGAUCUGAUGAAUGGCAAAGAGGCAUAAUUUAUAGGGAAGUAACCUGAGAAACAGCACUGAAAUCUUUUCACCCAUAAAUAAUGUGCCUUUUCACGUGAUUUUUGAAGAUCUGAGUCUUGUGGUGAAGCACGCUAUGUUGAAAUUCCUCCCUGUGUUACCUUGGUGGACUUCUCAUGGCAGAGGCAACCCAAGCUUUGCGAUGCCUUUGGAUGGAAAUGCAGAAUUGAAAUACAGAAGAGCAGCCCUUUGUUGAAAAUUGCUGCUCAAAACAGAAGAAAAAAUCCUGGGCUAAAGCAGAGGCCCUGUGGGACUUUCUGCCCUGAGCCUGCUUUGUCAGAGCUGAUGGCAGCAGCCUGGGUGCAUGGAAGGCCCAGAUCUCAUGCCCUCAGAGCCCUUUCCUUGGCUGUUUUUAUUAAUCUUCUCUUGUAAAGCUCCUCCUUGUUAUAAGCUCCAGCUCUGGCUUCUCAUUAAUUGCUGCUUAAGAACCGGACUGGUGGUUUGGACAAUUAAUAGCCUAAUAAGUGAAGGAGCCUUUCACCUCAGGGUAAGAAAUUCAAAUCCAACCCACAGCAGUAAUCUGGGGAAAUCAUUAGCUCCAGAUGGCUCACCGACAGCCAGAUAAACUGUGGCGGGGACCCUCCUGCCCUCCUUUCUGCAUAAGGCGCCAUGUCAGUACAUCCCCUGUGGCCACAGGGCAUGGGCUGAUCCAGGUGAGAGAACAGCUCCUCAGCCCAGUGUCUGGUGGUGGGGUGAUGCUAAUUUGUUCCCUUUGCUUGAAAUGAACCCUGCACAACUCCGAUGAGGUGGAUGGAGGAGAUCGUGGUUUCAGCCGCCUGUUCAUCUCCCUUGGAAAGUCAAAAGCCAUUUAUCUGGCACACUCAUAUUCAGACCAAAGUCUUACUUCUUAUGCAGCUUAAAUUAAAUUUUAGCUUGGCGUUACUUAUCUUCUGUGGCCCAAAUUAAUCUCUUUCUUUUAGUUAUCUGUAGUAUGAUUGCAGAGAGAAUUCAGUGCUGGUGGAAGUGACUGAAUUCACAGCGAUGGAGAUGGAGACAUCCAUCUCAUGCAGCAGCUGUCUGAAGGACUGCUACAGGACCAUGCACUGCCCUUCAUCUGCUCCCAGGCAGGGCCAGGGAACCUGCUUAUGUCACCCCAUGGAGCAUUUCCCAUAGACAUCAUCUGCAGACGCUGUCAACAACAGCUGACAAUUUCAUUCUUGCAUCUACAAUGCUGGAUGCGUGGGGAUUUAAUGAGAAAUUCAA
ensembl:lncRNA